rnacentral:sRNA from 1 species
UGUUGCGAUUUUGGUGUCUUAGGUCCCUUAGUUUUGAGUCGUUUGUCGUGUCAUAGUCCGUCUUUUGUGUCUAUUCGGUUGUGUCUUGAGUCAUUUGCAGGUUUUAGGUGUUUAAGGGGGACACAGAUGCUUUCGAGACUUAUCGAGCUCAUUUGGACCAGAAACGAUAGCAGGAGUCGAGAAACCGGAGUCAGGAA